GGGAAGUAUGCAAUGGAAGUGUCCCAGCCGGUCGUUUCAUGCAUCGCCGAUCUCGCUUUCAAAUUCACAGCACACUGCUAGUUUGCAACUAAUGAAGUGUUAUGAGAGACGACACCCCCUCGAUCUGUUUAACAAGCGGAAAAAACUAACAGGCCUGUCAAUGCUAUGAAUCCAAACAUGAAAUGGAUCCGGAUCUAAAGAGCAUACAUCAAUCGGAUACGAUGCAACCACACGCAAUCAUGGCCUCAUGGGAGAGAGCAAAAAUCAUGGGAUCACACAUCAGCAGGGAGCACAGCAAGAUAGACAAGCCAAGAGCGUAAGAUCUGGGAUUGAAAAAGAUAAAUAUGACAAUCUUGUGAAAAUGGAAAGAGGAGAUAAUGAUAAUUCAAAUGAGACCACUACAAUCAAGGAAAUGAAUACGAGAAUGGAAACCUCCCAAUGAUUGAUUAAGUUGGAGGCAUUGUGGAUGUAGCAGAAUACUCAGUACUACGUUAAAAGACUUUCUUCUUGCUUUUUGAAUUUUCUGUCAUGAUAUCAGAGACAGUGCUCAUGUUUGGUGGAGUAACCAUUCCUUAAGAAGCAAAUGUUGCCCCUUUUGGGUUCUCAUUUGCUCUUUCCAUUCUAAGGACACCAAGAACAGGACAACCUGCUCCUGGUAAGGGUAAUCCUAUCUACAACGUAUUUUAGAAGGGACUUCAUGGUUAGCCCGUCAGCACAUCAAGUAGCCUGAACCUGGCAUACCAAUCCUAGUUUAUAGCCGGGUGCUUGUUGGUCAGGGUGUGAAUUUGCUGCCCAGCACAUAUGAGCUGGGUCUUCAGUCUUGGGCUACCUGUUCAGCCCGUUGUCUAGCUCUAUUGUACAUUUGAUGUUCACGGAAAUAUAAGUACCGGUUCAUUUUUUUA